AUUGAACGCUGGCGGAAUGCUUUACACAUGCAAGUCGAACGGCAGCACGGGGCAACCUGGUGGCGAGUGGCGAACGGGUGAGUAAUAUAUCGGAACGUGCCCAAUCGUGGGGGGAUAACGUAGCGAAAGUUACGCUAAUACCGCAUACGAUCUACGGAUGAAAGCGGGGGAUCGCAAGACCUCGCGCGAAUGGAGCGGCCGAUAUCAGAUUAGGUAGUUGGUGGGGUAAAGGCUCACCAAGCCAACGAUUUGUAGCUGGUCUGAGAGGACGACCAGCCACACUGGAACUGAGACACGGUCCAGACUCCUACGGGAGGCAGCAGUGGGGAAUUUUGGACAAUGGGCGCAAGCCUGAUCCAGCCAUUCCGCGUGCAGGAUGAAGGCC
rnacentral:rRNA from 1 species